rnacentral:tRNA from 1 species
AGGUCAGUAGCUCAAUUGGUAGAGCAACGGUCUCCAAAACCGUCGGUUGGGGGUUCAAGUCCCUCCUGGCCUG